rnacentral:lncRNA from 1 species
ACACGUGUCCACUUAAUUUUUUAUAUAAUCAAAGGAGUAUAUGAUCAAUGCCUGUGACCAAGUGUAAUCCUGGUAUCUGAGAUAGAGGAAUCACACUUCAGCUGGGUUCACUAAUCUUUUCAACAUAUGCUAUAUGGAUUCCAAAAAUAAUGCCCCAGUUUUUAUUUCCUCCUUGAAUCUACAACUUUUUCCAAUGUGAUUUUGCAACCUCUUCCUUCAAAAAAAGCAAUCUAUGUCUCCAGUCUGUGAAUCUGAGCUGGCCUCAUGACUACCUUCGGCCAAGGGAAAGUGGUAGAAGUGACAGUGCCCCAGUUGGGAGCCUAGACCUCAAGAGACCUUGAGGGCUUCUGCUCAUUUGCUUGCAUUUCUUUCUCCUUCAGAGAGCAAGUCUGGGUUAGCUCUCAUUAGAUAGGUUCUUGCACCUUUGAAAGUAUAUGCUUCCUCAGCCAGGCACAGUGGUGCAGCCUAUAAUCCCAGGGGCUGGGGAGGGGGAGAUAGGAGGAUGAGGAGUUCAAAGCCAGCCUCAGCUAAAGUGAGGCCCUAAGCAACUCAAUGAGACCCUAUCUCUAAUAAAAUACAAACUAGUGCUGGGGAUGUGGCUCAGUGUCUAGUGCUCCUGAGUUCAAUUCCGGGACUGACCUCCCCCCACCCCAGGAAAAAAAGUCUAUGCUCCCUCCCAGCCAGUAGGCAAUCUGUGCUCUACCACUGGUGUCCAGUGACCAUGGCCUCACCAGUGACCAGGUGCAGCCAGUGGUGCUCUGGGCCUCCUCAUUGAUGAAGAUGACUAGGCCGCCCCUAGUGACCUGGACAGGGAGCAGAUGCACUCCAGUUCAGAUCCGCCACCCUGUCUGAUCCCCAGCCACUGCCUCUGUAGCCUUCUCCUUCUGCCACUGGCCUGCGAAGGGAGGCGAGUGAGCACUGCCCGACUGCCAGCCACGCAGCCUGGCCGGAUCUGGCCCAUGUCUUAGUGCCUUGACCUCUUUGGGUCUUGAUUUCUUGGUCUUUCAAAUGAGGUAGUUUGCCUCAAUAAUCUGUAAGGUGAAUGCCUGAGCUGACAGUCUCAAUGUCCUUUCUGGAUGAAGUGAGGACUGGAAGAAGUUACUUACUCGGCAUUUUCUGGUCAGCAGGGGGGAGUGCUUGAGCACUGACCUGAUGCCACAAGUGGAAAAUUUCACACCGGGCCUCCUGUGAUGGGUUGCAGCCAAAACGACGACUCCUUAAAAUAUUUUAUAAAGCCAUGCUUAGGCCAUGCAUAUAAGGUGAAUAUGAAACACAUGCAUUUGGUGUUUAGACUUGGGUCCCAGCCCCAAGCUCCCAUUUUCUAUAAGAAGUCUAAACAAACCCCAAAUCUGAAAUGCUUCAGGCACCAGCCUUUAAGAUGAGGAAUAUUCAGCUCUAUUAUUACCAUUUUUUGUGAAGCUGUAUUAUUAUCUUUUUUGUGUGUGAAAUUCUAUAAUUUUAAUUUAUCUUUAGAUGGUUGCCUGAGUGAAACAUGUUAAAAUUUCCUUAUUGAAGCAUUUGAAAUCAAAAAUGGCCAAUGACUUUGAUUGCUAAAAUCAAGAUGGAACAACAGAAGGAGCUCCAGUCAAAGAAUGAGGUGGAGGAAGGAAGAUUGACUAGCCUGUUUUUUUGCUAGGGUGAGAAAAGUCUGACUGCUUAGGCUUGGAGGUGAAAGUGGUAGGACGUUUAUCUUCCAUGAAAAAUCAGUAGAAAAAAUGUUGAUUGAUUCUAUCUUCAGCUUCCUGGAUGUGCACAUCUUGGGAGAGCAAUUUUGUAGUUUUGUUGUGCUUAAUGGGUCACAAGAAUAAAACAAAAACACAUAACAAAAGUAAACAUCUUUACUUUUGCUGUGGCUUCUCAUGCAAAGGGAAGUGUGUCCAGCAUUCUAAAGUUGCAUGAAUGACAAAAUUCCAUGUUUCCAGCCUGCCAAGAUUCUAGGCUCUCGCAGACCUUAGUGGAGAGACCCCCUGGAAAUGAAUUAAGCUUGUGGCAGUAUGUACACAGUGACUGCAGUCAAUAUUAGUUGCUGUUAUAUUACAUACUUGUUCUUCAAUUGAACAAGUUGUAAUUCUCAAAGAUAAGCAACUUCACAGAAGAGACACUCAUGCACAUCAAAUUCUGUAUGGUUCUUAAAUUAUCUCUCAAUAUUUGUUUAUAUGAUAAGGGAUUAUAUUCUGUUAUAUACUCUUUUUUCCCAGUUAGCAUAUUCUAAUGGAAUAAAUAAAUGACGUUUUAUAAUAUAAUAAACUGCCUGAGGUUUAAAAAUAAUGGAAUUCUAGGCAAAUAAAGCCUACCAGAUAGCAGUUUUCAUUAACUGCUGCUCUCCAACUUGAUCUCAGCACUGCAGGUUUAGAAAAUUAGAACUUCUGGGCUUGGGGGUGGGGAGCUCAAGAACAGAAUGCCACACUGCCUGCUUAUCCUUGGGUUUGAUUCUCAGCCCAGAUGCAGGGUGUCGGUGGGGGGAACAAAAUAAAAUUAGAAAUUCUUAUUAGCUAUAACUGUAACUGACAUGAGCAGUAAGAGAAAUGGACAUCCCAACUUGGACAUAUGAAAACUCCAAAAAUGGAGCAGAUACCUAUAUAGUACACCAGGUAGUUCCAUAGAAGGAAGGACUUUAGCCCAACUGUAACAAUUUAGUUGGUUGCCAAUAGCUAUCAAAGGAUAUGCUUUCCCAGAGCAGUGGACAUAGACUUGCUUAGUGAGUAGUAAAUGAUGGGAUAGGAUGGGGGUCGCACCGUGGAAGAAGGCAGCAGGGUGCUGCCCUGGGCACCUGGCAGGGCCUGAGCUUGCCAGCGCAUAGUCCCAGCGUUUUGAUGUUAACUUUUCAUUUACCCAGCUGAGGCUGCUUUCCCUUGGCUUCUCCUCCACCCAAGUUUCUAGCCUCCACCCUUUUCUUUUUCAUAAAAAUUGGUUUUGUCUAAAACAUGUUUUGCAAGUCUUUUUUCCCAGUCGGGUUUUGCUGUUUUUUCUCUUCUUCUUAAAUGUGUGUUCAAAAAAAGCAUGGCAGUUUUGUGUCUAGUGGUAACGUCCUGCCAGGCAACUGUCGCUGUUCUCGGUGGGGAGGUGGGCGAGGAGCAGGCUCCCUCAAGGAGCCUGGAACCUGGACCAGGAGCUGAGGCAGAGAAGUGCACUUAGCCAGGUCCUGCGCCCUCCAUGCUGUUUGGUAUAGCAGUCAGCGACUCCUUCAAGAUUCCGGGCUGGCACAGUGUGUGUGUGUGUGUGUGUGUGUGUGUGUGUGUGCUUGCAACAAGAGGUUUAUUUAAACAAGAUGCUUGACUUGAAGGGAAAACUAGAAAUUUUUUAGGGGGGAAGGGAUGUGGGUACCAGGGAGUGAACUCAGGGGCGCUCCACCACUGAGUCACAGCCCCAGCCCUGUUUUGUAUUUUAUUUAGAGACAGGGUUGCUUAGCAUCUCGCCAUCUCGCCAUUGCUGAAGCUGGCUUUGAACUAGCUAUCCUCCUGUCUCAUCCUCCAUUGCCGCUGGGAUUACAUACAGACUUGUGCCACUGUCUGGAUGGUAAUUUUUUUUAAAGAGUAAUUUACUCCUUCUUAAAGACAGAUUGCCUUACAUGUAACAGCUAUGUACCAAAAAGUUAAGAAUUGUCUUUGGUUUUAUAAUGAUAAAUGAAAAACAUUAAAAUUCUCCAAUUGAACAAGGUAUGCACAUGUUUUUAUGUUCUCUGGGACUUUUGUUUAUUUGCUUUUUGUUAAAACAGUGAGAGCAAAAUAACUUAUUGGAGUAUAAAGAUAAGAGUUGAAUGAGCACGCCAUUAACAGAGAAAGAGGAUAUUUUCACAGAACCAGUAUUUCCCCAUCCAUCUCCAUUGGAUGCCAAUCAAAACAUUUCAUUGGCCAUUUAGUUUCUUAAAAAUGCAAUUUGCUUGUGCACAUACACUAGUUACAUUAUGUACAAUAAAGGAAUGGAGAAGCAGAAAAUGAAAGAAUAGAGACGACUGUACUGUAGUAGUCAGGAUGAGCUGGAACUAAUUUGCAGUUUUGCAAUUGAGAAUGUGUUCUUGGUCUGUAAGAACAGAGCUCUGGAGUAAAGUAGCAGGUUCCCUUUUUAGUAGACACCUCCUGCCUGCUGCUGGAACACAUCAAUUGCAUCUUCAUCCUCCCUUUCCAGCUGUGCAGGUGUGUGUGCUACUUUAAUUGGCUGCCCAUCAAAUUGGAAUCUGAUCUGCCUCAUUGACACACCCUGCCAUUCACAAUAGGCUUUCAUUAGGUUAUUAAGAGUCUCUUAGUCUUAAACUGCACCACAAAACCAUCCUGCCCUGCCACCUCUAAGUUAGUAUGAUGGUUGUUCUCAGUCUUGACUCCUUCCUUGGGCUUUUCAACCGCCAUGGUGACUGCCAGAGUCUCCUCAGCUGCCUCUUCAC